UACGUAGGUGGCGAGCGUUGUCCGGAUUUACUGGGCGUAAAGAGCGCGCAGGCGGUCGUUCAAGUCGAGUGUGAAAGCCCCCGGCUCAACUGGGGAGGGUCACUCGAUACUGAUCGACUCGAAGGCAGGAGAGGGAAGUGGAAUUCCCGGUGUAGUGGUGAAAUGCGUAGAUAUCGGGAGGAACACCGGUGGCGAAGGCGGGUCUCUGGGCAGUAACUGACGCUGAGGAGCGAAAGCGUGGGGAGCGAACAGG
rnacentral:rRNA from 1 species